rnacentral:lncRNA from 13 species
CCCGGCGGCCCCUCCGCGCCCCCCUCACGGCGCCAGGCCCCGAGCCCGGCCCCCGUCAGCGCCGCUACCUUGUACUUGCUGAAGCCAGCGAGCUGCUCGGGGCUCACGUACUCCAUGGUGGCGCUCCCAGCAGGGCUCCUGCUGCCGCCGUUCCCGGUGCCGUUCCCGCUGUUCCCGGUGCCGUUCCCGGUGUUGCCGGUGCCGCUCCCGCUGCCGCUGCAUCGGCCCACCCGGCGUGGCCGUGACGUCACCGCACCCCGCCCCGCCGCGAUGGCGCCGCCUGGCGGCCGGGAGGGCCCCGCGCAGGGGGGGGGAGCGGGAAAACCCGGAAAAAAGAUCCCAAAAGAUCCCAAAAGAUCCCAAAAGAUCCAUCCGGCCCUGCCCUGGGGCAGCGUGGAGCCAUUCUCUGUGUCCCGGCACGCCAGCCUUGCUAGGAAGUCCCUCUCCGUCUCUCUUGGAUCUCCUUCAGGCUCUCCCAGCCUGGCUCCAGAGCAGAGGGAGGGAGAAGAAGGGGAGGACGAAGAGAGCAAAGGGGGGAAGGGAAGUCGCACCCCAACCCCAUCAGCUCUCCUCGGAGCCAGGCAGGGUGUCAGAGACCAGAAAAGGUUGAUCUCUGGAGACACUUUGGGAUGCAGGGGGAGGGUCCACGGAGGCCCUGGAGUUUAG